CUGAACACACCAGCAGCACAAUGAUGAUGUCACUGACUCUACUGCUGACCACCCUGGGGCUCCUUGUUCAGGGUUCAUCAGGUGAAAUCAUCCUGAUUCAAACUCCUGGAGCUCAGUCUGUGGUUGUAGGACAGACUGUCUCCAUCAGAUGUAAAGCCAGCAGAUUUAUAGGUGAUGACAUUGACUGGUAUCUUCAGAAACCUCCAGAAGCUCCUAAACUUCUUAUUUACGAUACCACAGCUCGUCAGUCUGGAGUUCCUGAACGUUUUCGUGCAAAAGCAGAACAGACUGAUUUCACUUUAACAAUCAGUGGAGUUCAGACUGAAGAUGCAGGAGUUUAUUAUUGUCAGCAGCAUAACAGCUACCCGUUCACACAGUGAUACAACGUCGUACAAAAACCUCACAGCUGCAGAGGAACUGAACCAACAGCUGCAUCAGAGAUUAAAUCUGCUUUUAUACGACAAGGAAAGAAGUCCUUCCACAUGUUCUUG